rnacentral:rRNA from 1 species
UACGGGGGGGGCAAGCGUUGUUCGGAAUUACUGGGCGUAAAGGGCUCGUAGGCGGCCAACUAAGUCGGAUGUGAAAUCCCCAGGCUCAACCUGGGAACUGCAUCCGAUACUGGAUGGCUUGAAUUCGGGAGAGGGAUGCAGAAUUCCAGGUGUAGCGGUGAAAUGCGUAGAUAUCUGGAGGAACACCGGUGGCGAAGGCGGCAUCCUGGACCGAGAUUGACGCUGAGGCGCGAAAGCUAGGGGAGCAAACGGG